AUUGAACGCUGGCGGCAGGCCUAACACAUGCAAGUCGAGCGAGUGGCGGACGGGUGAGUAAUGUCUGGGAAACUGCCUGAUGGAGGGGGAUAACUACUGGAAACGGUAGCUAAUACCGCAUACCAUCGGAUGUACCCAGAUGGGAUUAGCCAGUAGGUGGGGUAAAGGCUCACCUAGGCGACGAUCCCUAGCUGGUCUGAGAGGAUGCCCAGCCAGACUGGAACUGAGAAACGGUCCAGACUCCUACGGGAGGCAGCAGUGGGGAAUAUUGCACAAUGGGCGCAAGCCUGAUGCAGCCAUGCCGCGUGUAUGAAGAAGGCCUUCGGGUUGUAAAGUACUUUCAGCGAGGAGGCGUUACUCGCAGAAGAAGCACUGGCUAACUCCGUGCCAGCAGCCGCGGUAAUUC
rnacentral:rRNA from 1 species